AUGACAUGCUUGAGCUGGAACUGCCGGGGGCUUGGGAACCCCGAGGCAGUUCGCGAGCUUCGUAGUAUAGUGAAGCUAGAAGGACUCACUCUUCUCUUUGUGAUGGAAACGAAAAUUCAAGCUAAAAGAGUUGAGGCUUUGAAGUACACUCUCGGUUUUGGAGGGUGUUUUGCAGUCGACAGUGUUGGCCUAAGUGGUGGCAUUGGUCUGUUUUGGUCACGUGAUGUGACUGUUGAGUUGAAAAAUUUCAGCAAGUGUCACAUUGAUGUGGUGGUUCAUAGUAACAAUUAG
rnacentral:rRNA from 1 species